GACGAACGCUGGCGGCGUGCUUAACACAUGCAAGUCGAACGAAGUGGCGAACGGGUGAGUAACGCGUAAUCAACCUGCCCUUCAGAGGGGGACAACAGUUGGAACAGACUGCUAAUACCGCAAACUGAAGGAGGGGAUUGCGUCUGAUUAGCUAGUGGGAGGGGUAACGGCCCACCAAAGCGAUGAUCAGUAGCCGGUCUGAGAGGAUGAACGGCCACAUUGGGACUGGGACACGGCCCAGACUCCUACGGGAGGCAGCAGUGGGGGAUCUUCCGCAAUGGACGGAAGUCUGACGGAGCAACGCCGCGUGGGAGAUGAAGGCCUUCGGGUUGUAAAGCUCUGUUAAUCGGGACGCGGUACCUGAAUAGAAAGCCACGGCUAACUACGUGCCAGCCGCCGCGGUAAUUC
rnacentral:rRNA from 1 species